rnacentral:lncRNA from 1 species
GGGACUCAUGCCUGACGUGACAUCCAGUGCGCAAUCCCUGCACAGAUCCGAGCCUCCCGCGUCUGUCCCUUGGAACGCUUCCCCUGGCAGUGGCCUGUGAGUGUGGACUGAGGGCAGUGGGAGGAGCAGCUGCUUUUCCCCAGCCUGAGCUGUCGGGCCAGCCUGAUGUGCACUCCUGCCUGGCCACUGCAGAAGCAAACACAGGGCAGCUGGGUCAGGUUCCUGUGAGGUCUCAGAGAAUGGAGCCAGGCUGGAGCCUGCACAUUUCUCAACCCCCAGGCAACUGUUGACGAGGCCUUGAGGGCUCUGGGCCUCUUAGGCCCUGGCUCCAGCAGCAGCUGUGAGCAGUGCAGCCGCUGAGCACCCUGCGGCCUGCUGGCAGCAACUGUGGGAAUGCAAUCUCGUGUGGAAGCACAGCAGCUGAAACAGAGCAAGGGGGCGUUGCCUGGGACAGAAGUGGGGCUGCACCUAUCACACCUACCAGCCUCCCCCAUCGUCCCUUCUUGCCCGGAUUUUACCACCGCCACAUCUUCUGGGGACCUUAGGCUUCCUCGGAACCCAGUUUGAGAACCACUGCCUUUGUUCUCUGCCCUUCCUCUUGGACCUGGGAAAACUAAGAUCUGGAGUAGCACAAUGACCAUCCAAUACUGAAAGACCAGUAUGUGGUAGAGGUAGAACCAGAAAUCAGGCUUCCUAUUGUUUUGCUUGAGGAUUUGGUGCUGGCCACAGAGUCUUUAUGGCCCUAUACCAUGAUGUAGAUAGAUAUGGAUGGUUAGGCACAGGCACCACCCAGAGAGACGAUCUAUAUCCAUACCAAAAUGAUCUAUGUCACACACGGAGAUGCAGACAAUAUAUAAGUUUCUGAG